rnacentral:rRNA from 11 species
GACUCUCGGCAACGGAUCUCGGGCUACGCAUCGAUGAAGAACGUAGCAAAAUGCGAUAUGGUGUGAAUGCAGAUCCCGUGAUGAACAUCGCGUUUUUGAACGCAAGUUGCGCCCGAAGCCAUUCGGUGAGGGCACGUUCUGCCUGGGCGUCA